CUUGGUCAUUUAGAGGAAGUAAAAGUCGUAACAAGGUUUCCGUAGGUGAACCUGCGGAAGGAUCAUUAAAGAACGCCCCGUUUUUUGAAAUGGGUAAUUCCCAAACCGUGUCUAUAUAUACCUUUGUUGCUUUGGCAGGUCGCCUUCUAGGCGUCGGCUCCGGCUGACUGCGCCUGCCAGAGGACCCAAACUCGUUUUGUUUAGUGUCGUCUGAGUACUAUAUAAUAGUUAAAACUUUCAACAACGGAUCUCUUGGUUCUGGCAUCGAUGAAGAACGCAGCGAAAUGCGAUAAGUAAUGUGAAUUGCAGAAUUCAGUGAAUCAUCGAAUCUUUGAACGCACAUUGCGCCCCUUGGUAUUCCGAGGGGCAUGCCUGUUCGAGCGUCAUUAUAACCACUCAAGCCUCGGCUUGGUAUUGGGGUUCGCGGUUUCGCGGCCCUUAAAAUCAGUGGCGGUGCCGUCUGGCUCUAGGCGUAGUAAUACUCCUCGCUAUAGACGUUCGGUGGUGUCCUGCCAGCAACCCCCCCAUUUUCAAAGGUUGACCUCGGAUCAGGUAGGGAUACCCGCUGAACUUAAGCAUAUCAAUAAGCGGAGGA
rnacentral:rRNA from 1 species